rnacentral:rRNA from 1 species
CUUGACAUGGUCGGAAUCCUGCUGAGAGGCGGGAGUGCUCGAAAGAGAACCGGCGCUCAGGUGCUGCAUGGCUGUCGUCAGCUCGUGUCGUGAGAUGUUGGGUUAAGUCCCGCAACGAGCGCAACCCUUGUCAUUAGUUGCUACAUUCAGUUGAGCACUCUAAUGAGACUGCCGGUGACAAACCGGAGGAAGGUGGGGAUGACGUCAAGUCCUCAUGGCCCUUAUGGGUAG